AUGCAGAAUUCCCCACUAAGUGGGCGUGGCAUGCAAAGAAGAAAAAAUGGAAACCAAGGAAAGGCAGGAAACAAUCUAUUGGGAGGAUCUACUAUGCCCAUCCAGCAAGUGAACAUGCGUGUUUCUGCACUAACAGAUACUCCAGAAGAACAAAAAAAGACCACAGAUUUUGCGGACUGGAUUCUAAAUAUUGGAGAUGGAUUAGUUGGAAAUAAAGAAGAAGAGGCAUGGGUACAGAUACCUGAAGACUUGCUUCUGCAGAAAGGAGAGAACCAAUUUGAAACGAUCAUCAACAACACCUAUCCAAACCUAUGGACGAACUACACCAACCGAACAUACUUAGAAGAGAGAGCCAUCUUAUGUCCAAGAAAUGACAUGGUUGAUGAGGUAAAUUCUUACAUCAUGGGCAGAAUAGAAGUGUGCAAAGCAAUGUCAAAUUCGGAAGAUGUAGAUCAUUUGUACCCAAUAGAAUUCUUGAAUAGCUUGAAGUGCCCUGGAAUAUCAGACCACAUACUACGGCUGAAAGUAGGCCUGCCAAUUAUGCUGCUACGGAAUAUCAACCAAAGCGAGGGCUUAUGCAAUGGUACGAGACUAACUAUAACACAACUAGGCAAAUGGUUCAUAGAAGCUCAAAUAAUAACAGGGACAAACAUUGGAAACAAGGUAUAUAUUCCAAGGAUAAUUAUGUCACCAAGUGACUCAAAAUCGCCGUUUGUGUUGAAAAGGAGGCAGUACCCAAUAUCAGUUUGUUUUGCAAUGACGAUAAAUAAGAGUCAAGGGCAGUCGCUAAAACAUGUGGGCCUAUAUUUACCGAAGCAGGUGUUCACUCAUGGCCAACUCUAUGUAGCGGUAUCAAGAGUCACAAGUAGAGAUGGACUUAAAGUUCUAAUUUCAGAUGAAGAAUCUAAGGAAAAUAAUUCGGCAAAAAAUAUUGUGUACAAGGAGAUCCUUUAG
rnacentral:rRNA from 1 species